rnacentral:lncRNA from 1 species
CUUUGACGAGUCUCAUGCUUCUCUGGUUCUGACUCCUUUUGUGCCACCACCGUCCCUAUCUUCACCUUAAUAAACUUGCUUGUAAACUUGUCAUUGAAGUAGAAGGCAUCAUCCUCUGCAAUGUCCUUGCUCAUGGGUUCCUUACGGAGAACAUUCUUACCCUUGACACAAGCAAGAGACUGAAGGCACCGCUUCAGAUCUGAAGCUGGUAUUUCGGUUGCUUGCUCAAUUUCUUUAUAACUCGAACAAUCCGCUGAAUUGAACAACAUGAGGACACACAUUUGGUAUGUAGAAACAUUCAGCUCAUGCUUCUGUCCCUUCCCAAAGGUUGCUUUUAUAUCUGCAGUGCCCAUAUUUGUUUGCCAUGUCAAUCUCCGUCCAGUAUGAGUUCCAAGNNNNNNNNNNNNNNNNNNNNNNNNNNNNNNNNNNNNCUUCAGAUCUGAAGCUGGUAUUUCGGUUGCUUGCUCAAUUUCUUUAUAACUCGAACAAUCCGCUGAAUUGAACAACAUGAGGACACACAUUUGGUAUGUAGAAACAUUCAGCUCAUGCUUCUGUCCCUUCCCAAAGGUUGCUUUUAUAUCUGCAGUGCCCAUAUUUGUUUGCCAUGUCAAUCUCCGUCCAGUAUGAGUUCCAAGAUAAUACGCACGAAACUUCUCACACACGCUAAGAAUUUCAGCCGGAAGGUUGCAAGGGGCACUGGGCUGUGUUGGCCAAGAACCUGUUGUGAGAACUUGAACAGCCAGAGUUGGGCCAUCUCCCAUCUCAGAAUACUGACUAGCAUAGAAACCUUGCAUGGUGUCCUGGGAUGUCCUCAUAUCUGUAAACAUACCUUCCAGUUUAGAUGUGAACUGAUACCCACAUUCAGUCUUGAGCUUGACUAUCAUGCUUC